rnacentral:rRNA from 1 species
AUUGAACGCUGGCGGCAGGCUUAACACAUGCAAGUCGAGCGGGGGAAGGUAGCUUGCUACUGGACCUAGCGGCGGACGGGUGAGUAAUGCUUAGGAAUCUGCCUAUUAGUGGGGACAACAUCUCGAAAGGGAUGCUAAUACCGCAUACGUCCUACGGGAGAAAGCAGGGGAUCUUCGGACCUUGCGCUAAUAGAUGAGCCUAAGUCGGAUUAGCUAGUUGGUGGGGUAAAGGCCUACCAAGGCGACGAUCUGUAGCGGGUCUGAGAGGAUGAUCCGCCACACUGGGACUGAGACACGGCCCAGACUCCUACGGGAGGCAGCAGUGGGGAAUAUUGGACAAUGGGGGGAACCCUGAUCCAGCCAUGCCGCGUGUGUGAAGAAGGCCUUAUGGUUGUAAAGCACUUUAAGCGAGGAGGAGGCUACUCUAGUUAAUACCUAGGGAUAGUGGACGUUACUCGCAGAAUCAGCACCGGCUAACUCUGUGCCAGCCGCCGCAGUAA